UGGGGAAUCUUGCACAAUGGGGGCAACCCUGAUGCAGCGACGCCGCGUGAGCGAUGAAGCCCUUCGGGGCGUAAAGCUCUUUCGACCGGAACGAUAAUGACGGUACCUGGAGAAGAAGCUGCGGCUAACUACGUGCCAGCAGCCGCGGUAAUACGUAGGCAGCGAGCGUUGUUCGGAGUUACUGGGCGUAAAGAGUGCGUAGGCGGCGAGCCAAGUUUGGUGUGAAAUCUCCCGGCUUAACCGGGAGGGUGCGCCGAAAACUGGUUGGCUGGAGUAUGGGAGAGNAAAGCGGAAUUCCUGGUGUAGCGGUGAAAUGCGUAGAUAUCAGGAGGAACACCUGCGGUGUAGACAGCUUUCUGGACCAAAACUGACGCUGAGGCACGAAAGCGUGGGUAGCAAACA
rnacentral:rRNA from 1 species